rnacentral:rRNA from 1 species
GACGAACGCUGGCGGCGUGCUUAACACAUGCAAGUCGAGCGGAAAGGCCCUUCGGGGUACUCGAGCGGCGAACGGGUGAGUAACACGUGAGUAAUCUGCCCUUGGCUUUGGGAUAACUACCGGAAACGGUGGCUAAUACCGGAUACGACAACCGUCUGCAUGGGCUGGUUGUGGAAAGUUUUUUCGGCCAGGGAUGUGCUCGCGGCCUAUCAGCUUGUUGGUGGGGUAAUGGCCUACCAAGGCUUCGACGGGUAGCCGGCCUGAGAGGGUGACCGGCCACACUGGGACUGAGACACGGCCCAGACUCCUACGGGAGGCAGCAGUGGGGAAUAUUGGACAAUGGGCGGAAGCCUGAUCCAGCAACGCCGCGUGAGGGAUGACGGCCUUCUGGUUGUAAACCUCUUUCAGUACCGACGAAGCGCCGAUGAUGGUGGUGACGGUAGGUACAGAAGAAGCACCGGCCAACUACGUG